rnacentral:rRNA from 1 species
GACGUAGGGCGCGAGCGUUGUCCGGAUUUAUUGGGCGUAAAGAGCUCGUAGGCGGUCCGUCACGUCGGGCGUGAAAACCCAGGGCUCAACCCUGGGCCUGCGUUCGAUACGGGCGGACUAGAGUUCGGUAGGGGAGACUGGAAUUCCUGGUGUAGCGGUGAAAUGCGCAGAUAUCAGGAGGAACACCGGUGGCGAAGGCGGGUCUCUGGGCCGAUAUUGACGCUGAGGAGCGAAAGCGUGGGGAGCGAACAGG